rnacentral:lncRNA from 1 species
GAAGCUCGGAGUAGUGUCCCGCUGUAGAAGCUCAUCCAGAGCCCACUCACUAUGGGGUAGCUCGGUUGAAGUCUACCUGUGGUAGAAAUUCGAAAGAAAUUUGUUUAUAGUAGAGGCUUGAGUCAGAAUUUGCUUACAGUCGACGUCUGGGAUAGACAGCCUGCUGUAAAAGUUCGGAGUAGACCAUUUGUAGUAGAAGUUUGGCUCUCGCAGGAGCUCGAUUGGGAUCCGAAAGGCGGUCGACCGUCGUAGAAAUUUGGAAGGAGUCUGGUUACCGUAGAAAUCUCAUUGUCGGGGAAGCUCGAAUGCUGACGAAGCCCAAAAGAAGUUCGGGGGU